CCUUAGAUAUCUGUCUGGAAUUAUCGAUUAGAAGUUGGAUAAAUGAUGACCAACAGAGAGCUCACAAAAGGUAGACAGUUUCUAUGGGCGUAGGCCUCCCAAAAGGUAACAGAGGAGUGUAAAGGUUUCCUCGGGCCGAACAGAGAUUGGCCCUCGUGUGCAAAGCAAAAAGGAGCUUGACUGCAAGAUCCACCCGUCGAGCCGGGAUGAAAGUUGGCCUUAGUGAUCCAUCGGUGAUAGGUGGAUGGGCCGUCGCUCAAUGGAUAAAGUUACUCUAGG
rfam:Nicotiana attenuata strain TT chromosome 8, whole genome shotgun sequence.